rnacentral:sRNA from 14 species
UUGACAGCCCUGGAGACUGAAGUCCUCUAUUUAUCCACAGAACAGAUACAGCGCGGGCAGCGGCAGUGGCAGUGGCAGCUUCCCCCACACUGCCUCCACCCUGUGCCUGGCCGCUGAGUUGGAGGAACCACCUCUAAAGGUGAGAGGGGUUGUUCAGUCUCCACGCCCAUUCAAUCCUCGGCCUUC